AUUGAACGCUGGCGGCAUGCCUUACACAUGCAAGUCGAACGGUAACAGGUUAAGCUGACGAGUGGCGAACGGGUGAGUAAUGUAUCGGAACGUGCCCAGUCGUGGGGGAUAACUGCUCGAAAGAGCAGCUAAUACCGCAUACGACCUGAGGGUGAAAGCGGGGGAUCGCAAGACCUCGCGCGAUUGGAGCGGCCGAUAUCAGAUUAGGUAGUUGGUGGGGUAAAGGCCUACCAAGCCUACGAUCUGUAGCUGGUCUGAGAGGACGACCAGCCACACUGGGACUGAGACACGGCCCAGACUCCUACGGGAGGCAGCAGUGGGGAAUUUUGGACAAUGGACGCAAGUCUGAUCCAGCCAUGCCGCGUGCGGGAAGAAGGCCUUCGGGUUGUAAACCGCUUUUGUCAGGGAAGAAAAGGUUCUGGUUAAUACCUGGGACUCAUGACGGUACCUGAAGAAUAAGCACUGGCUAACUACGUGCCAGCAGCCGCUGUAAAAC
rnacentral:rRNA from 1 species